UACGAAGGGUGCAAGCGUUGCUCGGAAUUAUUGGGCGUAAAGGGUAGGUAGGUGGUCUUAUUUGUCUUAGGUGAAAUCCUUGGGCUCAACCCGAGACGUGCCUAAGAAACGGUAAGACUAGAGUAAUAGAGGGGUUUGUGGAAUUCCCGGUGUAGCGGUGAAAUGCGUAGAGAUCGGGAGGAACACCAGCGGCGAAGGCGGCAAACUGGAUAUUAACUGACACUCAACUACGAAAGCGUGGGGAUCAAACAGG
rnacentral:rRNA from 1 species